AAGGAUUCCCUUAGUAGCGGCGAGCGAACAGGGAGAAGCCCAGCACCGAAGCCCGCAGUCGGAAACGGCUGCAGGGCAAUGUGGUGUUUGGGAGAGCCCGUUUAACUCGGUAAGUGUGUAACGUGUCCAAGUCCUUCUUGAACGGGGCCACACACCCAUAGAGGGUGCCAGGCCCGUAGUGACCGUUACCAUGUCCGAGUGGGUUUCUCCUUAGAGUCGGGUUGCUUGAGAGUGCAGCUCUAAGUGGGUGGUAAACUCCAUCUAAGGCUAAAUAUAACCACGAGACCGAUAGCGAACAAGUACCGUGAGGGAAAGUUGAAAAGAACUUUGAAGAGAGAGUUCAAUAGUACGUGAAACCGUUCAGGGGUAAACCUGAGAAAACCGAACAAAUCGAAAGGACAGAUUCAAUCACCUCGCCUGUGGUAGCACACUGUUAACGUUACAUGGGACGUCUAAUACUUCGGUGCUAGUCGCCCCGUUAUCAAUGCUGUUUACUGCAGGAGGUGUGCAUUUCUAUCCUAGUAGAUGCGUCGUGACCCAUUGGGAGCUUGUCUAAGGUCCGCUAGGGAGCCUGUGACGUUUCGUUUAAUUACUUAGCGUUCACAGACCUGCGGUGUCCCGACGGGUAACUCGAUGGACGAAACGUCAGGUGGUGGGUCGCUUCGGCGAGCGAUACACCCUGUGACAAGUAACUGUGCAGACCGUGGAAAUCGGACCUAGCGCCGGUUCCGCACUCACAUUACUGUUGGUCACAUGGGCUAUGUAUCCGAUCCCGUCACCCGUCGGCGACGUCUGAGCUUUGGGUACUUUCAGGACCCGUCUUGAAACACGGACCAAGGAGUCUAGCAUGUACGCGAGUCAUUGGGUCACAAACUAAACCUAAAGGCGAAAUGAAAGUAAAAGUUUAUAUUUUUACAUGAACUAAGGGAAGAUGGGCUUAUACAUAUUAAGCCUCGCACUCCCGGGCCGUCCCAUACUCAUAGCGAGUUGGGGCGGACUAAGAGCGUACACGCUGGGACCCGAAAGAUGGUGAACUAUGCCAGGUCAGGAUGAAGUCAGGGGAAACCCUGAUGGAAGUCCGUAGCGAUUCUGACGUGCAAAUCGAUCGUCGGAACUUGGUAUAGCGGCGAAAGACUAAUCGAACCAUCUAGUAGCUGGUUCCCUCCGAAGUUUCCCUCAGGAUAGCUGGCAUUCGAUUGAAUAAAUGUGGAUGAGUCUCAUCCGGUAAAGCGAAUGAUUAGAGGCAUUGGGGUCGAAACGGCCUCAACCUAUUCUCAAACUUUAAAUGGGUGAGAUCUCCGGCUUGCUUAACGCAUGAAGCCGGAGAUCGGAUCAAUGAAUGCCAAGUGGGCCACUUUUG
rnacentral:rRNA from 1 species